UCCAAUCAGAAACUGACACACCUGCUACUCAUCUGCUGCUACCCACCUGUUCUCCAGCCACCAAUCAACACCUUGCAGUACAUCUACCCGGCUCUUCUCACCAGUCUUCGCCAGAUCGUUCGUUUACCCAAGUGGUUCAUUCCUCCAAACAACUCACCACGGAUCCUCCGCUGCUCCACGUCAGCCUGCUGUUCUUGCUCCGCCUGCCUGCUCUCACCAGUCACUUUCCAGCCAGCUGUCCUCGCCCAGUCUACCUGCUCACGGCGAUUCCUUCCACACACCUGGUUACUCUUUGUUUGUACAAUAAACCGAAACUAUCCACUUCAA